UACAGAGGCCACAAGCGUUAGACGGAAUCACUGGGCUUAAAGCGUGUGUAGGCGGGAUGGUAAGUACCUUGUGAAAUCCCACAGCUUAACUGUGGAAAUGCUUGGUAUACUGCCGUUCUUGAGUCACCUAGGGGCAGCUGUAACAGAUGGUGGAGCGGUGAAAUGCAUAGAUAUCAUCUGGAACGCCAAUGGUGCAGACAAGCUGCUGGGGGUGUACUGACGCUGAGGCACGAAAGCCAGGGGAGCAAACGGG
rnacentral:rRNA from 1 species